rnacentral:rRNA from 1 species
UACGUAGGGUGCAAGCGUUAAUCGGAAUUACUGGGCGUAAAGCGUGCGCAGGCGGUUCGCUAAGACAGAUGUGAAAUCCCCGGGCUUAACCCUGGGAACUGCAUUUGUGACUGGCGGGCUAGAGUAUGGCAGAGGGGGGUAGAAUUCCGACGUGUAGCAGUGAAAUGCGUAGAGAUGUGGAGGAAUACCGAUGGCGAAGGCAGCCCCCUGGGCCAAUACUGACGCUCAUGCACGAAAGCGUGGGGAGCAAACAGG